UCUUGGCUCGAUUUCGCGGCGUUACCGUAUUAUUUCGCCGGUGCUUUAAUGCCUCCUGCAUCCGUACAAUGCAAGUUGGUUACGCAACCGGCCAUAAGAUAAGAAAUCCCGUAGGGCAGUAAAACUCGUAACGUUCCCGAUCGCUUUUAGUUUUCCGUUCUUUGGGUUUGCUCGUUUACUACACGCUCGCAAGCACGCUCGACCUCUCUCUCUCUCUCUCUCUCUCUUCUCUCUCAAGGCUUUCGUCGUGAGAGCGUGCCAAAGAGGAGGAGGAAAGGAGGAAAGUCGAAAAAGUGAAAAAGAGAGGGAAAAGGCUAUCUAACCUCGCGAUAUAUAUGUAUAUAUACGUACGUGGACAAAGACGCGAGAACAAUGAAAGAGAAAGAUAGAGAGAGAGAGAGAAGGCGUGUUCUUCGGUUCCUAUCAGAUCACACCGAGUUUGCCUCUCGUAGACGGAUAAUAGAUAGUAGUAGCCAGCGGGAAAAAAGAUGGAGCGGAACGAAAAAUUUCGACCAUUUUUAAGGGUUCUUGAUAAGGAAAGUAAGGAAAAGAAUUCGUGUCGGGGCAGGGGAGAGGAAAAGGGGGAGAGAAGGACGCAAAAAAAAGAAAACAAAACGAAGAACGAAUCUUUUGAAACAGAAACACAGUAGAACGAUAUAGGUUGAAAAGGAUCGAAUUUUAUUUAUUCUCGAAGACAAAGAAAAAGGAAAAGGAAGAAGGGAGAUUCGAUUUUAUAUCCGUGAUUGAGUUUACUUAGACACUUGUUGUUCGAUGAGACGUUCGGAUAAUCGAAAGCCUGGGAACUUUUUCCUUCUUCUUUUUCCAUUAUAAUAUUUCCUUCGAUAAUUUUCUUCAACUUUUAACGUUUGUAAAAAAAAAAUUCAUAGGAGGACGAUCCACGAAAGAGAAAGAAAAGAGAGAGAGAGAGGAAGGGUCAAGUUAUAUUUCUCGAAACGGAGAAAAGAAAAGGGAGGAAGGAGGAUGGGGAUUGGAUGGAUCUGGACGGCGUGUCGCGUGCAAUUGUUACCGAACGGAGGCAGCGUGGCUGCCCUCAACAGAAUCGGAUCCAAUGAAGUCAAUACGGACAAUAGCCCGAUAAGUAGAUAAUAAUGCAUAAUAUAAUAAGAGAGCACCGACUGGUUGGUAGCGUACGCGAGCCGUUGUGUUGGUAGCACGCGCCACAUUGAGCCGGCAAUUCAAGUUGCUUGAGAGCGGUCUUUAACGACUCCUUUCUACGCGGCUAAGACUCCGCCUGCCGCACAAUGCCGUUUCUUAAAUUUUAUCGUUACUCUCGUUGACCGACCGGUGCCAGUGGAUUUAUGUAACGCGCGGCCUUAACUACGUUUGAUAAGCCUAAUCGACUCUCGACCUCUGAACCCAUUUUCUUUUCUUCCUAAUUUCCUUUUCUUUCCUUUCCUUUUUCUUUUUCUUAUUCCUCGUUCCCUUUGUUUGACCUUCUUUCGAAAACUUUGAACACUCGAUAUCUGGGUAAUGCAAAAGUAGAAAUUUUUCUUCUCUAGUUUUCUCUUUUUUUGCUUUUCAUUCGAAAAUUUUAACUCGAUUUUUCACGAAUUCUUUUUGAUAAAUUUUUCUUUUUUUAUUUCUUCGUUUUCGCUUGGAAUAAUCGUUUCUGAACACACGAAUUCUUUCAAGUAUUCUCUUUCCAUAGAAAUUUUCGGAUUGUAUCACAGUGUAAAGAUACGCGAGUGUCCACGAAAGCGUAAACAGUUAUUUUUUUAAGCCUCGAGGAGACGAAUUUUGGUUAAUGAAGGAAGCUUUGACGUGCAGAGUGCGUUAACGGGUAGUUUAAUUGGAUCAUAAUCGCGUCUCGUUUGAUCACCGAAGUUAAGCUGCGUUCGACACGGCUUUAGCGCUUGCCUUGUGUUGUAAGCUAGUGUCGGAUAAUUCGUAAGCUUCCUGCAACGGUAUCGAGUUUCAUCCGGCAUCGUAGAUACCUGUCUCAAUUACCUGAAAAUAAUUGCAUCGAAUAGAAAUGAUGAAUUGUUAUUCGUAGAUUGAAAGAGACGCGGAAAAAAUUUAUACGCGCUCUGGAAAGAAUUCUUGUGUGCCGAAACGAAAUGGGACGAGGCUCGAGUUAGAUACAAAUUCAUAUAGAAAACGAGGAGUUUCGUUAUCGAUAGACACGUUCCAGCUCGUCUAUCCUCCGUAGACCAGUUCAGUCGCCUCUAACAACCCAUAACUCGUCACCCUCGUGUUCUCCUAUGUACCGACUUUAUUUACAUUGCUCCCAGUACAUCCAUACCCUGUAUCUCGUGUAUUUUCCCUUCCCUUUCUGCUUGUCCUUCCUCCCACUACGCUCCUCCCUCCUUUUCCUCCACCUUCGCCUUCUUCCUUCGUGUCGCAUUAUACCGAUCGUGUUUCCUUUAAAAUCGUACAACCCCUUAUCUACUCGAAUAAACCUUACUUCGAUAGAAAUAAAUAAAUCUUACAUAUUCUUCUAUUUUUAUCUCGAUGCAUCUUCGUAUAAUUACGUGAAUACCUCCGUCAAUUUCUUCGUCCCAACCAAUCCAAACCGAGAUUACUUCGAUUGAUUGGCCCAAUCAAUUUUUCCAUCUUCGACCUCCUCUCGAUCCGAGCAAAGAAAUCAGAGUACCAAAAAAUAGAUCGAUGAGACGCGAAAAAACGUGGUGGCAGCCAAGGAAGAAACGCGGAAACGAAAAAAAUCGUAGAGAAAGAGAAAAAGGUGAUGAAAAGCACGAUUAGGGAAAAUAGCCAGUAGUCAACUUUUGGAUAAGGGAUGAAAUACGGAAGAAAAGAAGUGGAAGGAAAUAAAAAAGAAACGAAACACAGACGGAGAGAGAAACGAAGCUAGAUAGAUAGAAGGAAAAACGAAUAGACUCGGUGGUUGUUCGGAACUAGGCGAGAGGGAAGGAAGGAGAUGCAGAGAUUACCAUAUAAUGGUGGCCCGAGGGCGCAUAAGCUGCGCCACGACGUAAUUCCUUCGUCCCUUUUCAACGAACAGUGGCAACCGUACACACGCGUACGUUACACGUAAGAGGAUCGUCCCAUCCUCGUCCCUCGAGCACGAUCAUCCCGAUUCCCUUAUCCCCCUUCCCUGGAGAACUUGUUGCGAGCGUUGCGUUGUCAAGUCAGUCAAACGUAAUCCACCUACUUACCCUCCCCCUCUGAGAGAUAAUUUUCCUACUACGCCGCGUGGGCCACGAAUCGAAUCGCUACGCAUAAUCGAGCGCGAUAUAAUAUAAUCGAUUGUGAAGUCGAAUCGUUCUUCUCGAAAAUUUCGGAAGCGAAUGGCGGAAGACGAUGAGCAUGCAAAGGUGAAGCUCGCGGAUACGGAUUCCAAGAAGCAGAUGAUGGACUCGAAGAGGGGAGGGACGAGUGUUAUAGUACGCAGCGAUCACCGAUCGGAGGAUCCCGAUCGCGUGGGAGUGCAGGCCGGUGCGUCCCCUCCUCGGAGGAGCUUGAGUUACGUCUCACAUUUUGACGUGUUGAGGCAGCACGUGACUCGUGUAUUUACGAACGGUGGGCAGAGGCGGGCGGAGGCGCGCGAGGAGAGGAAGCCGCGCACACGCACGUGCACGCACAUCGGUCGCGAAACGGCGAGGAUGCGGCGGUGGCCGGUGCGCCGCGCCACGCAUACGAGGAGGCAAUGAACUUCACCUCUGUUCGCGUACGACGACGGGCAACGACGACGACGACAACGGCAACGAGGACGAUGCGGCUUUUACGUGUGUAUAAUGGGCCAUGUUUAUGCCCCUCCGAGCGGUAUAUACUCCGGUGCACGUGAAUAUAUAUAUGUGUGUAUGUAUGUAUACGCGUCGCGCGUAUCCUGAACGUCGUAUACGCGCACUCUUCAACGUUUAACCUGCCCACGAACUUACUAUCGACCUGCUAUCGAAAGUCUCUUGCGAGAUUCUUUCUCCCCUCCUUUCUCUGAAAAGAGUCUCGUUGUAAUUUAUCUCGAAUUAGAAGUACGCGUAAUUCGACGGUAAUCUUUGUAAAAAUCGACGUUUCUUCUCUCGGCGCGAAUUGCUUUCGUUCUUUAAUUACGCAUAGCCCUGGCCACGGAUCGGCACCGAUUUCGUCGAAAUCCUCGAAACCGUGACGAAAAUUUUAGGAAGAGGAAGUUGGAUUGAUUAAUUCGCGUCGAUCGAUUAACCGUCUCUAAAGCGGCGAGCGAACGGUUACAGAGAGAACUCGGUGACUCGGUUGAAAUCCAUCGAGCGGAUGGAAAAGCGCGGGAGGAGGAGGGGGGCGUCGGUCGAUCGAUCGAUAAGAAAAAACAAUCGAUCAGCUCGUAACUCGCGAUCCACCGCGGAACGGUCAGUGGAGCGAGCGUGUUCGCGCACGGUCACACUGCACCGUGCAAUUUUCUUAAGUCCGGCCACUUAUUCUCAUUUACGUUCACGUUUACAUCAUCGAGGCAGUAAAGUGUUACUGCUAGCGCACAGGUGCGCCCUGCUUUUUCUUUUUAUCCUCUCCGUUGGUUGGUUGGUCGGCCGACCGGUCGGUCGAUCGGUCGGUCGGUCGGUCGGUGGUUGCUCGCCUCGGUUGCUCGGGCCUUUUUGUUCGUGGUCUACGGGCACCUAACGAGUCAGGGGCCUGUCAUUAUCCGCUCUUGCUACCUCCCUGGCCCCUAGCUCCUGCUCUCUAUCUCUACGCGAGCAGAUUAUCCUGGAAACUUAUUGCGGUAAACUCGGACAAUAACGAUGGAAUCGAAUGCGUUUGCUCCAUCAGGCCACUGCUCUCUCUCUCUCUCUCUUUCUCUCUCUCUCGGCCUUUUUCGAUUCUUCCCGUGCCAAUUGCCUCCCUGCGAGGCUCGAUUUGUCGCGUGGCCAUUCGGGAUCCUCGCUCCUUCCCUCCCUUCCCCACGCCCGGUUACCGGGAAACGUUUCAAGAAAGAAGGUAGCAACACGAGAAAGUUCUCCUUCUCAAUUUCUUCAUCCAGCUUCUGAUCGAUCCUAGAAACGGUUUCUUCUUCCUCUUCUCUACUCGACCGCGGGCAAAAUACGAGUCAAUUACGGUUCUUGGAUCAUCGAAUUAUAGGAUCGUCUAAAAUUUACGAUUUUUUUUUCCUUUUUUUUUUUUUUAACAAUAAAAUUUUACGUGCCUUUUGAAUACUCGAGAAAUCCAAUUAAAUAAUCCGCACAUCUGAUCACACGCGUCUAUUACGAGUCUGUCGAAAAAGAUUGAUAAGAUAUACGGAACGAUCGGAGCAAGAUUACAACGACGUUCAAUGAUAAAAUUUAAUCGCCGCUCGUCAUCGAACAAGUUUCACGCCUCGUCGCGCGACCGGACCUUGCUCAACAUCGAACCUACGUCGAAUAAAAGUACAACGUCAUCGUGCAACCACUUUUUUUCGCCUCCCCCUUUUUAACGCUAACGCUUUUAUUUUACUUUUAUUUCUUUUUUCUCUUUUCUCUUUUCUUUUUUCUCUCCUUUUUUUUUUUUUGAUCACGGCCGAUCGGCUACGCGGAAAUAAUUACGGUUCGAUAAAGCGCGCCGAUAAAAAUGCACGGUAAUAGCCCUAGCUCUCAUCUCUAACGGGAACUAGUUUACCAGAGAGGUGUAUUUUCCUCGGUGUACCGCGUUAUUAAUCGGCGCAACUCUGGUACGCGCCAACUCGCCCCUCCCUCCCUCCCUUCGCUCGAGGGAAAAAGGAAAAAAAGAGAAGACGGACGGUUCCUAUUUUGCUGAACGUCGUGUAACGUGGAAUCGUCGUCCACGGCCGCCUGUCCUUUUUAACGAUCUAUUAACGUUCGACCCUCGAUCGUGGCUUAUUUCACAGAAAAUUACACGCGACCGGCCGCGCUUCCGCGUGCGCGCUCUUACGCAACGCCGCAGUAAAUCCGAAUAAAUUGCAUCGAGAAGGGGAGGGGAGGAGGGGAGGGAGUAUCGAGCUCUCGUUUGAAAAGUGGAGAGAGAGAGAGGAGGGGAGGAAAAAGUUAGUACCAAUUACUAAUCGCUGCUCGGAUGUGCACGCACGCGUUCGACCUGUGGCUAAUUGUAAAUAUCAUUAUCGAGCACCCUUCUUGUUCCCCCUCAGCCGAGGGGGUUAUCUAAGGUGGAAACGAUCAUCGUUGAAGAAAGAAACGGUGAAUGGGCUCGUAAUUUCGAAAAGUCAGACCCGUUGGAUUGAGGCGAUGUUGAACUCGUGUACGCGCCUCGAGCGAAUCACGACGUCUCUCUCUCUCUCUCUCUGCUUUCUCGUCGUCCAAUUAUCGCGGCCAAGCGCCAACGUAUUCGCGACCAAUGGUAAAUAAUAGUAAAUAAUGGGAAGGACGGGCAUCCACGUGGAUCCGAUGGAAUCACGGUUAGGAUUAGACAGGGUUAUCUCUGGCUGUCAAUCUUCGACAAUGGCCAGUCUGUCCAAGGAUGUGCGUUUAUUGCGUGUUUUCUGCUCGUGGGAUAAAGAGCGAUGGUUUAAAUGGACGCGUUUUUAAGAUGGAGAUCCAGGGACAGUGUUUAAGUGGAAAUUUGAAAGUGAAUUGGAGGAGCGUUUGGGGAAUUAGUUUGGGGAGAGUGACGUAACGAUUAUCGAGUAACGUUGCAAAAUAGAAGUUCGUUUUAUAUAAAUAUCGACGAGGAAGUAGCAAUUGGUGUAAUUGGUAGGUUUAUACGGUAGAAAUCCAUCAAUCAUUCCAGCCAUUUUUAAAUUUCCCUUCAAAUAAUUCAGAUAAAUUAACCCGAUCAUACUCGUGUAACUCUUUCUCAUUUAUUAUUCCUAAUGAUUGGUUACAUUGUACAUGUUUUCGUUCUUUUUCUUUGUCAUCUUAAUUUAACGAGAAUCCGUCCCAAAUAAACGUUUACGCGUUUAAAUGCGUGUAUAAAGAGAAGCACGAGAUUGUUCGAGGUUAAAAUUUUUAUUCGAUGUUGCUCGUUUAUUAACGUUAUUAAUUAAUUAAACAGCAGGCGAGAUCCGUUGGGCAACGUUUGAAUUUUUGAAUCUUGGGUUCUCCGGGAAGGCGAAGAGGAUCGGAAGGCCCGCUAUUUUUACGGCGAAAACAACAUCGAGUCAUCGAACCCCGACGUGUACGAAGCAGCCUUGAGACUUUCGUCACCGGGGGGCACGGCCUCUUAAUACCUGACGUAACCGCACGAACCGCAUCGGAAGGGGGAGGAGGGGCGGCGUGGGUGCACGGUCUGUGCGCGUACACGUGCACGCAUACGCGUAUUCGAGCGAUAUUUAUGGCGCGAGCGACACGCGGAUGGAAACGAAUGCCCAGGAUUCUCCGAUGUUUCCCCGAUAAUCGUCCAUUCGUUGCGUCGAGUCCGCAACGCGCACGUGCGUUCUUACACUCGGAUUAUCCUCGAUCGUAGAAAUUUUCCAAGACAAACUUGGUCUCGAUAUGUUAGAUAACAUUAUCGAACGAGAUUUAAGGAUUCCACGAUGGAUUGAAAGUAAAGGGAAAAUUUUCUUUUCAUCAAAGUUGAUCCGAAUAAAUCGUACGAUAAAUACAUCACGAUUACUGAACAAACAGCUUUCCUCAAGCUUUGAAAUUCUAUUUUAUUUUAAAAAUCCAAAUCCAAACGGGCCAAAUUUCCAAUCAUCCAAGAUCGUUCGAUAAUCUUCAUAGAAGCAUAAAUUUUUGGUCAAUCGAAAUUUCGUUUCAACGAAAAAUCAAACAAAGUUCAAAUUGAAUCGCAGUCCAAAUCGCCUAUCAUUACAUCACGAUAUUUAAAUUAUUUAAAUCAAUAAUAAUCCACGAUCGUUUGAUAAUCUUCAUACAAGCAUAAAUUUUUGGUGAAUCGAAAUUUCAUUUUCACAAAAAAUCAAACAAAGUUCAAAUUGAAUCGCAGCCCAAGUCAUUCAAGAUCGCCUAUUAUUCGUCCAAUAAUCUCGAUACAAAUUUUUCGAUCGAUCAAAAUUUCCUUUCGACGGAGAGAAACUAAGUGAACUAACGAAUCGAGAUGAAAAUCGCGGUCCAAAAUUGCAUCCAAGUGCAUCGUCCUCGAAGCGACACCGUACACCUCGCGAGGAGAGAUCCGAAUCGCGGUUUCGAAUCGUCGUGGCGCGAUGGGUCGGUCGAUAGGUGUGUGAUGCGCGCGCGCGUGUGUGUGUGCGUGUGUAACCUCUGCGUUGGAUCGCGCGUAACCCCUGCGUGUCCGCGCGGCGGAGAGGCGGGGGAAAGAUGGACGAAGAACGAAGGACAGAAGAGCCGCGGUGUUCCCGCCCGGACGAUGCGAAGAGGGAGAAGAGGAGGAGGAGGAGGUCUCCUCCUCCCCUCCCCCUGCCCCCGUUCGGUGUUGGAGUCGGUGUCACGGUGUGGUGUUGGUGUCGACGAGCCGCGUGGGUAACCGGUUUGGCGGGUCCUGCAGUUGCAACGCACGCACGUGUACGUAUCGGCGCGAGUCGUACACGCACGCACACACACGCACACCUGUAAGGGCAGCAGCGUGUGUCCAGCGGCGGAGAGGAUCCACCGAACCCAACGUAUUAUACAGGCCGAGAUACUGGUCUAAAUAUAGCGACGCAUUUACAUACCUAAAGACCAGGGCUGGAUUAAUGUGUAGGCGAAACGGACAGCUGUCCCCUUUCUCCUCGUCUUCACGUCUCCUCCCUCCCUCCUUCGAGAGGGAGGCCGGAUCGGGUUUUCGACAAUCGAACUGGAGGAGGGGACCAUUUUCUUCCUGGCGACAGGUAAUUCUGAGUUUCGAAACACGGGUUACUCGAUAGGAUAUAACAGAUUUUUAACUUUAGUUAGUUUAAUUUUUAAGUUGAGAGCGUAAAAGAAGUUGAGAAGUUAGGGGGAAGAUAAUAUUAUUGGUAUCGUAUUUUGAAGUUAUCGUACGACAGAGUUGUUUGGGAAUGUAGGGGGAACAGAUGGCGAUAAGAUGCGUAACAAGAUUCGUGACGAUCGUAUCGAAUUGAAUUUGACGUUGUCGUUUCGUAUUCAAUUUCUUUCGAAUUCGAGGAAACAAGAAGAAUAUUCUUUUCCUUUCCUUUUUUUUUCUAAUAUUCGUGAUAACUAUCGAGCCAAAGCUCGAAAUCGAACGAUCCAUCCGUGUUUCAGACGGAUCCUGGUCGGACACGGGAUGAUCCGGGACGAAACGAGAGAUUCUCGAGAGAGAUUAGAAGUUCGAGCGAUGCUUCUGGAGUUCGGGACCGAUCCCUCCCCCCUCGGAACCGGCCCUGUCCAUGUCGAUACGCCACGCUUCAUCCCCCGCGGAUAAUCGUUCUUGCACGGCCGGAUAGAACCGGACGCGCGGCUACCGAAUCCAUCGAUCGGGCCAAUCUCUAACGAUCGACGCUAAAAACAAAACAAAAAACAAAAUCGAUAUCGAGUCGAAAGAUCGAACGAAUAAUAGUAACCGAAUAAUUCCCUUGCUAAACAAUUUACAAUCAACGUCCUCCUCGAUCGUCUUUUCUCUCUGAUAUAAAAUCAAAUCUCCUCUCGCUCCCUAAAACUAUCCCACUUUUCCAUUAACCUUCUCCUUAACACAACUUGGUGUGACUCGUACAAUUUUCCCCAGAUCGAGAUGGUGCGCGACACGAACAAGUCUAAGUGGAAGCGGGCUAAGGAUUCACUUUCUCGGCCCUCGGAGUCGGGGGAAAUAAAUGAUGAGCUUGACAGGUCCGCUCGUAACAGAGGAGGAGAAGGAGGAAGGAGAGAGGGACGAGAGAGAAGAAGAAGGAAGGCGAGAAGGAAGGUGAGAUCGGGACGAGGCGGGCUUCGAACGAGGAGAGCCAGAUAUCCUCCCUUCCCCACCCUCUCCUUCUUCCCUCCGCCAUCCCUCUUCCCAUCUCGAAACAAAUUAUCAACGCAUCAAAUAUAACUUAGCUCGGCUACCGUAUUCUUAAGCCGUCCCCCUACCCUCUACCCUCCUACCCCCAACUUCUCCGAGGCCGUCUUUAUUAUUUCUUAUUUACUCGUCAGGUUUUAUUGGCGGGAACCAGAGCCCUCUCUCCUCUUUGGCCCGCCACUUUUAAUUGGCCGUUCGUACGUGCCACCGAUGAUUCGGUGCUUCAACGAGUUUACACGCGACUCGAUCGUUAACGACAUCCUUUCUGCUAUUUCGUUCGAACUCGGAUAUCUUGCAACGGUCUCGGAACAGUUCUCUUCUCCUUCUCCUUCUUUUAUCUUUUAUCUUUCUUUUUUUCUCUCUCUCUAUAGCAAGAUCGAUCGCAAGAAUAUUCUAUUAGCCUCUGACCCUAAAAAAAACUAUUCAAGAAAGUCUUCCUAGAAGUCUCGUCUUGUGAUGCACGCGUUGCUCGUUUAACCGAUGGCCGCGAUCGUUCCACCGUAGGUAUACGAUCCUAGGUAUAUACCUUCCUACCGCAUCAGUAUUCCAGUCCCAUUUCUCGUUAACGAAUGCUUAUCCAGCAGCGAUUUUAUUUAUAACGCGCGGCCGCCAUCGAAGCGACCCUGAUCUUUGAGCGACAAUGAAAAUUAUCCGCGCACGACUCGCGGAUUCCCUGCCUCGUUUUCCCUGUUGCAACCAGAUUUAUUCGACGCGCGUUGGAAAUUAGCCGAGGCAAAUCUCGAUCCUCCAUCCUUUAAUAAACCUUCGAUCCCCUUUCAUCGAUCGAACCUGUCCGCUUUCCAGCCGAACGAAUACGGAACGAGUCGAGUCGUCGAAUUCCCAUUCGUGGCGCGCAACGACGGCACCGUUAUUUACACCUCCUCCACAACUCGGAACGACAAACGCGCCACGCUUCUCCUCGAGGAUGAUAAUUAAAUUUUCCUCCAAGUCGGAAGAAAUUAUUCCCCGUCGAUCGAUCCUUCUCGAAGAUCUCUUCGACUCAUCUUUCCAUUCCUCUCUUCCUCCUCCUUCCCUCUUGCGAUGCCGUGGAAGAAGGCAUCGUGGAAAGAUCUUUCGACCGGAGUUGCACGACUCGAGACGGCGAUUUCCGCGCCAAUAAAAACCUCGCUCGCGCAUAAUUUAACGCUCUGUAGGGUAAUAGCAACCCCACCCAGAGCGGAACCACCGUGCUGCUGCCGCAUGCAACCCCGCGCCGUGAAACGCGGCCGAGGAGCAACGAUAAACGCUAACUCUAUGGAUACACUCUGGAACGAUGCCAGCCGUGCCUUCGUUCAUAAAUCCGGGCACGUCUCGCGCCACUACUCAGUCACCGAAUGCAAUCGUGAUUUCGCCUCUCUAAAAAAAAAGAAAAAGAAAAAAAGAAAGAAAGAAAAAAGAGGGAGAAGAGGCGCAACUUGUCGCUUUGGAGUCGGAGUUAUAACCUUGGUGUUCCAGGUGACGGUGGAGAGAGAUUUUACACAAGUUUAGAGAAGAGAUUAGGUGGUUGGAAUCGGAGAAAGUUUCGGGCAAAGAUUCGGCAGGGAAACGGUGGGGUUUGGGUCUUUUUGGAGAUAUUUCGGGCGAGAGAAAGGAAGGAAGGGGGAGAACGGGUGCUGGGAGGAUGAUGGAUUAGCAGGCGGAUUUAGGGAGAAGAUUGUGGCAGGGGGGGAGGGACGAGGGAAAGUUUUGCUAUUCGUCGUGUCGUGGCUGAGGAAUGGGAUUAUAUUUGGGGAUUAGGGUUAACGUGCAGUUAUUAACUUUGAUAUGUAGCUUAUUUGUAGUGUGCGCUAUUGUUCGUGAAUUGCCAAGGUCAUUUGUAAUCUGAAACACGGCGAAUAUCGAGUCGAGGGGUUGAGAUUUUUGAGAAUGAUGAUAUCAGAUUGACAAUUCUCUUGAAAUUCUUUUUAUUCUAUCCAUUGAUUUUAAAAAUAAUUCACUCGCAAAACGCAACGAGAUAGCUUUUUAUUAUCAUUCAGAGAACCGAUUUUAUUAUAUGGAAAUUCGUUGAGUCAUUCUAUUUAUCGUACGAGAAUAAUCAACUUAAUUAAGAAACAACAAGGAACUCUUGGAAAAAGAGAAACCGAGUGUUUCGAUUUAACAUCGAUCGGUCAAACGAUUCUCAAAGAUUCUCAUCUCCAUAAAAUCGUCGAAAAUCUCGAGAAAAAGAGAAAGAAAUCGAUCUUCGAAAGACAGAUCAGAUCAACAGAACGCCAAAAAAAAGAAAAUCAAGAUGAGAGGAUUCUCCAGGGGAUAUUUGGCACGAGGCAAACGAUGUCAAGAGCAGAGACGCAGGGCGGUGCGAGAGGAAAUUUUCCAGUGGAAAUCUUGCUCCGCUCUUGGCAGCCGACCUUUACGAGAUUCCUUGCAGCGCGCGAGGUUAAUGGCGCAGGAAAGACGCUAUAGUCGCCGGCGUCUCCGGCCUCUUUCACGAAGUGGAUUACAAGUUCGACGGACACGUUUGGUCGGAACGAAAGCGUGGGCCACGUUUGGCCAACGUCCAAACCCGUAUCGCGACGUAGACCUCUCCUUAUCUCGAUAGCGUUAUCGUGGCUCGGCUCGAAAAGUUUGCUUUGCGACGCGCCUUCCACGGAAUCGUGUUGGCUUGUCGGGCAAGGCCGAGGUGACGAUCGUUUCCGAUCCAUACGUCGCGUUAUUGCGGCCUGCCUAACUGUGCAUGGAAUAUUAAAAGUCCUGUCCCCCGCGUUAGAGCCGCCUUAGAGACGCAUGAGACGCAUCCUUCGUGGAAGGAUUAAACAAGCGGCGGCCAUGAACGCUCGACGAACGAGAUAUUGCGUCUCCCAUCUCUGAACAAGUCGCACCGUUCGUUUGCUCGAUCGUACGGUGGAAAGUCGAUUCGAUCGAUGUUAGAAUGAUUGAUGAGAUAUUUUUUUACCCAGAAUUGUAUUGGAUAAAUUUGGGGAAAAAUUCUUGGAAUAUUAUUUCGACCGAAUAAAUUUAUAAAGAAUCUAUAAUAUCGAAAGUAAUAGGAAUAAGAUUUGGAAAAGAUCAAUUAUACAUUAAAUUUAAUUUGUGACAAGACGUUUGUAUACAUCACUGCAUAUGGAGAUAAUAAAUUGGCUCGCUUUUUAUUUCACCUCAAAACUAUUCGAAUCAAAAUUUUCAUACGUACGUACACAAUCGUAACGCCGAAAGUUUUGCAUUGUAGCAAGAGGAUCUUUUCGCCCGACCGCCGCAUGGGGUUCCGGUUCUUACGCAAUCCGCGCGUGUAGUUUCGCAUGCAUAAGUCGCGGUGCUCGAACCAGCGCGUGAGAAGGAGGGGAAAGAGGAAAAGGAGGACGGAGGAAGGAAGGAAAGAAAGAAGGAAAGAAAGAAAGAAAGAAUCGCAUGCACGCACGCGUACCGACGCCAGAAAAGUUUUAAUGACGACGGAUCUUCUUCCCCAUUAUGCACGCGAUAGUCGCGUUUUUUUUUUCCCCCCCUCUCCACCUCCUUCCCCCUCCCUCCUUACCGAUGCUCCUCAAAUAGAGAGGGACGCGCAAGAAAAACGAUCGAGCUUCUUCAUCUUCCCCUUCGUUUCUAUUCUCGGACGAAAAAUCGGGGGCUACGUUUCGUUCGGGAUCGCACUCGUGCAUUUCGAAACUCGCAGCGAUUAUCAGAGCUCGAUUGGGACUCGAGAGAGAAAGAGAGAGUUUCGGCUCAAUCUUUUUUUUUAAUUCAGAAAUUUUAAUUAAUAAAUUUUCGUACCGAUAAUCGAUCAAUGCCACCGCAAAAUACUCGCGGUCCAUCGACUCUGCUCCCCCCUCUCUUCCUCCUCCCUCGCAAAGCGAAUCUCCGCAACCCCGCAUCGUAAACAAAACAAUCGAGCCUCGACCAAACCACAAUUCGAUCGUUCCGCGUCAUGGUUGGUGAAUCGCGCGACAAUAUUUGUCCUGGCGCGAAAUCCCGGCUUGGGGGGGAGGAGAGGAGGAGAGAGAGAGAAGCGUAAUUUUAAUCGCGGCCUCGUUUUGUCAUCUAAUGCCCACCGCGUCUAAUUGGUCGAUCGGUUUGGGCAAAUCGGUUGGUAAUCCGGCCGCGUAAGCUCCUUUUCCUCCGCAAAAAAAAAAAAAAAAAAAACGCUUUCCCUCCCUCCCUUCCGAGCAUUUGUCCGCGAUAAAAAUCGCGUCGCGUCGCGUGCGCGUGUUUUUUUUUUACGAUUUCCACGAUUUCACCGACUUCGAAAAAAACACGCUCGAUUCGCGGAUUUUGGAAGGGUGGCCGCCCUCCAAAUUCCCCGGAACUGUCCACGACGUAAUUGUAGAAAAAAGGGGCGAAAAAAAAGGGAGGCAAGGAUUGCCGGCGGAAAGAAAAAAAGAGGAAAAAGAAAGGGAGGGCGAGGCGAUAUCGUCCUCGAUCACGAUACUCUAGCCAGACGUGCCAUCUGAUAUCCGUCGAUCGCGAUAAAACAGCGGGCGAACGAAACGAGAUCGAAUCUCGGAUAUCGCGCGAUUUAAUAGCAAUUACCGGGCGGGCGUAGCCGACAAAUUGGAACAAAUACGGGCGAGGGCCGCGGGGGAGAAGGUGUGUACGCGCGUGUGAGACGGCGGCGGGCCGUAAUUAUGGCGUACGCCGGGGGAGGGGGAAGGGCCUUGAAAUUUUUCGAUAGCCACCGCCGGUGCCACCGGUAACUCUGGUUUCUGGCUCCCACCCUCCCCUCCUCCCUCCCUCCCUCCCUCCCUCCAGAAGGAGCACGAGACUAGGUCAAGUCUACGUGACUUGACCGCACGAAGGACAAGUCGUACUUGUCCCGCGGCCGACCGCCGACUUACGACUUGCCGCGUUACGACGGCCACGAAAGUAAAAGCCGGGCGGGCGAACGGGCCACCGAUCAUCUCUCGCGCGACGCGCACCGCCGCCGUCUCCUUCGAGACACCUUUCUCGGGUCGGUCCCUCCCCUCGGUCGUGCGGGACAGGUUCUUGGCGAGGCUCGCGAUCGCGAUACCGGUCCUCCGGAUGGAUGAAAUAUCGAGGCGAACGACGUUGAGCGUCGAUUUCGUUUGAUAAAAUUAUGUAAAUGGGGGGAGCAGGGGGAUGAGGGAGAGAAUGAAGAAGAGAAUCACGGUUUAUGUCGAGAAAGUUUUUUUUUAGAAUUGUACCGAUAGAAUCAAGAUAGAUUGUUCUUUAUCUCGGAAGGCAAUUUUCGAGUACAAUGCAUUUUUAAAAAUCGUUCGGAUGGAUUAUUGAAAAUAGUUUUCGAGUAGAGAUCGAGAAAUUGGAAUAAUUGGUUCAUAUGAUGCUUUUUAUUAUAUAUAUACGAUAAUUUCACGUUGGCCUGUUACGUCAGAAUGAAAAGAAGUUUUAUUAUACGUAGUGUGCGUGUAUAUAGUUGAUGCUGAGUUAUUCUCGAUGACACUGCAUAAAAGAAAGAUCUUUUCUCGAAAGAUUCCGAGUAGCACUUGAGACGUAGUGCAAGUGGACAAUGGACUGGAAUAUGGUUGGAUACGAGGAAGAAGUUUGUCGCAUUUACGUAUGUUCUCUACGUCCAACGGGAUCAAUUAUUCAGCGCGCGUAAACCGUCUCCCACGAAGGUUUCAAUUACACGACGAUUCGUAACGAUAUUACACUUAACGUUGGCGAGCAGAACAAAAUGCCAGACUGAUCUUUUACGAGGACAAGGAGAGCGACGCAACGACGAUCGAACGGCAUCGUGACUCGAUUCGAGCGCGUUUAACAGGUCUAAUGAACACUUAGCGUUUAACAUAAAACAACAAACGACUCGUGCCUAGAUUAGACAAGCAGACCUAUACGGCAAAUUGCGUUCCCUUGUCUCCCUUCCUCUCCACCACCUGAUCUUUUGUUUACGCGGCCUAAUGCGAUCGGAAUGCGAAACUUGUCUAUAUCCGUUGCCAAAAGUUUUUUACUGCGCGAUUUAUUUUUCUUUUCUUUUUUUUUCAAAUCAUCGCGGUUUUUCAAAUCUCUUCUUACUCGAGGAUUAUUCCAAAAUCCGAUACGAUAUUUUUCGGAAACGAAAUUGACGGAAAAUAUUAAGAAAAGAAUAUAUACGCGUGUAGAACGAAAAAUUUAUUAAAUAUGAAACAAAUUUUACCUGGAAGACGGGCGAAUCUAUGUCAAAUAACCUAAUUAGAAUUUAAUAAAGUGUACGUGCAAUUAUUCGAGUAGAAUUAAUAUCUAUCCCGAAGAAACCGGACGAUUUAUCUCUCGUUGAAGUUGAUUAAUUCGUCUUCUGCGUGAUUUCUGAUCUUUCGACUCACUCGAUUUCGAAGGGGAGAAAAGAGAAAAAAGAGAAAAAAAAAAAUUGAAAGAUUUCAAAUUCAGAUCAAUGUUGAAGUUCUUCUAUUCAGAAUGGAACACGUCGAGGUAUCGAAACCUCGGAGGCAGUUAAUUAAGAUUAGCUCAAUUAUACGCGUUUAACCCACUUUCGCCUUGGUUGCGCAAAAUCGUUCAACGAUCUGAAACACUGCGACAGAUGCUAAUAACGAUUUCCACCGGUUUUAUAAUAAGAGCGGCGGGCAAAAAGCGCGCGCAACCGACGACCGGCUUCGCCGCACACGAACGCUCUCGCGCGGUCUGCCUAAUGAGCCGCAAUUAAUCUCACAAUUCGAACGUAUAUGUAUUUAUUAAACACAACCUCGGUGACGAUCUCGGCGAGGGAUCGUUCGUGGCGUUGCGAUGACUCAUCAUCGUGACUUUUAUUCCUUUAACGAUCCGUCUUAUUAACAAUCCGUGUUUUCAACCCUUUCGACCGCUUACUCGUAUCUCCGACCAAUGUUUAUUUAACCAUCGUGCGGAUCGUUUUAAUUUCCUCCUCGCCCGUUCGAACGGAAUUAUUUCGCUUACUUGCAAUGCGUACGGAACGUUUGUUUAUCGACGCAAGUAGCCAAGUUGUACAAUAGAAAUGUUAUUCUAAAGAAAUGAUUUGACGAGUGGUAAACAAAUGGAAGGAUUAAUAUUUCUUUUCAGAUAUAUAUUGUUGCGAUAAUUACGAUCAAUCCCCUUUGAUUCGAAACUUAACGUUUAAUAUCGAGCCGCUCGUGAGUGGUCGCAAUUUUCAAAUGCAGUCAGUCGAAAAAAAAGAAGAAGAAGAUGGCCGCGAAAGAGUUGAGAAGGAAGGGACGGUCACGAAUCAGCGUGAGAACGCGUUCAUUGGAAAUGGGGAAGAUUACGAAGUGCGGUUCGAGGGCUCGUUGAAAUCCCUUCCGAGAUCGAUGAUAGAGAGAGAGAGCAGCGCUGCUUAAAAAUAGUCGUUCGAACGCGAUAGUCGUUUAAACGAAACAGCAGGGAAGGCUGAAAUGAGCCAAGAUAACGGUGCAUCGGAGACAGUAUCUGGUUCAAGGGCUGUGCGCAGUGCGCGCUUUUAAGAAAGUCUUCGACCUCGCGGGCGAGAUCGACGAACGUAGAAAGUUCAACGAGACGAUACAGCGUGAUUCGAUCGAUCUUUCGCGAGAUUUUAAUUUUUCACUAUCGAUUGUUAAGAUAUUUAUUUCCGUUCGAAGAGAGAUUAAGAAUAUUCGAAACUCCAAUUCUCUUCCCGUUAAAAGUCGAUGACAUCUCGAGGAAUUAUUGCCGAGUCAACGAACGGAGAUUGAACGGAUAAAAAUGGAAGAAUUAAAUAAAAUCGAAUCGCGAUAACGAUCGAAACAAAGCAAAAUCGGGAUCGAGCGUGAUUUUUCUGAAGCAAAAAAAAAAAAAAAGGAAAGGGGAAAAAAAAGAAUAAGAAAGAAAGGAUCACGUGACUGGUGAAACAAAAACGAAGGCGCAUAACCUCGCGACACGAGCACCUCGAUGGCACGAGUCCGGCGAUCUCGGGUUGGGAGAGGGUGGGAGGACAUUGGAGAGGGCACACACGACGUGCAAGCAGGGAAGGAGGAGGAAGGAGGGGCGGCAAGCCCCGACCAUACGUUUGAGUUGGUUGACCCGGCUCGGCCACGUUCCUACCUUCAUCUCAACUUCGUCCUAAGGAAUAGCCUUCACGCUUGCGAUUUCAUUCCACGCGACCGCGCUGCUUUUAUUCCUGAAUUGACCCCGCUCGGCCCCCGCUCGUCUCCAUUAAUUGAUAGAUCGAAAAUAGGGGAAGGGAAAUAGGAAUCGAUCUGUCUCAAUCAUGAAAAUUUAUUUAUUUAUUUAUUUAUUCAUCUUUCUCUCAUCCAUCCAUUCGAUUCGCAUACAAAUACCAAAGCAUCGAUUAUUUUAAUAAUCGCUAUUAAUAAAAUCUACAAAAUAGGAUCGAUCUUUCACGAUUCGCAACGAGAGAAGUUUAUGUAAAUAAUAAAGUUACGAAAGUUUAAACUUUCGAGCGGAGGAGUAUCCAAGACGAUCGCACGCUUCGAUAAAGCUAUGACCCUGACACGACGAUGAUGUAACGAAAGAAACAUUAUCGAAGGGUUGUGGCCAAUCUCGGACUUGGCAUAAUUCACGGGGAACGGGACAUUUUCCGGUUUUCGAGGAUCCCGGAGGAAGCGCGUCUUUCGUGCAGUUGUUGGAGAGGCAUCGAACGGAACCGUGGAUCCGAGUAAAGCCGGUAUUACGGAGAGGUAGCGGAUCGAAAUAGUGCGGGAAAGGGUGGGGAGGGGGGCGGAUGGGCCGUUUGCGAGUGACGGAGAAGGAGGGAGAGAUUAACAACGGGAGACGGGAGGGGGAAAGAAGAAAGCAAAGGACAAGAAGGGGGGGGAGAGAGAGGGAGGAGAGGGAAGCUCGAGGAUUGUGUGCCUCUGGCGCGAUGUUCAGCUCGUGGAGGAUUACUACCUCUCGAACCGGCGAGGAGGAGGAGAAAAGAGCGGUGGAGGAAGGAAGAGGGGAAGAGGGUAAAGGGAGGGGCAGACAUCACGUCGUCAAUCAUGGUCCAGUUGCUCCUAUGUACUACAUAUCCCCGGCGAGAGGAGGGCGGAGAGGAGGGCAGGGAGGGAGGGCAUGUACACGCUACUGCAUUGUGGCGCACAAUGUUCAAUCAUCUCUCCGUCGAUUCCUUCGGCUUUAAUUGAAGAAAGGGUCCCUCGAAACCGCGCGGCCGCGCGGGGAGGAAUCUCUCGUCCGUAAGAAGAAGAAGGAGCGCGAGAGGAAGAGUGUGGGGCCGGCGGGGAGAGGAGGAAGAGAGAAAGAGAGAGGAGAGAAAGAAACGGAACGGAAGAGGGGAAAAAAAGAAAGCGCCGCGGGGGUGUCGUUGACCCCACGACGACGACGACGACGACGACGACGACGACGAGGACGACGAGGACGAGGACGAGGACGACGACGAUAUUGUGUACCACUCGAGUGUUUAAGUCGAGGCGAACUCGAAGGACCCGGGCCUCGAAGGAACAAGGACCUCCUCAGCCACACUCAGCCGAGUCCUUGGGGCCAUGGAUCAUUAACCAGGGCGAACCGCGAAAUACGAGAUCGCGCCGAAAAUCACGGACCUUUUGAAUCGUGUGCACGCUCCAUCGCCCUAUCGUUCCUAUCCCUCGUGCCCAUCCCUCCCCUCCUCCCUCAUUUUUAUUUCUCUCGAGGAAGGUUCGAGUGGCGAUCCGAGUCGGAGCGAAAGUGCGCGGAACCGAAGGGAAAUAAAGAAGAAAGGAGAGAGAGAGAGAGGGAAACGCGAAAUUUCACCAAUUUGUUGCGAAAAACGCGCUAUCGAUUCCCGGUGCUCGACCUUUCUUUUUCGAAGUAGGAAAUAGGAAGGGGAUAGGAGGGAAUUCCUCGAGUGUUCCUCUCUGCCGAGAACGACAAUGAAUUCUCUCCUUCUCUCUCUCUCUCUCUCCUUUUUCUCUUUUUCUGCAGCCUCAAUUAUGAUCCCGCAAUAAGGAGAAAAAAAUAUCACCUAACGACCGCGACAUUACUCGUAACAAUUAACCCUCUAGAACCUGCGAAGCUGUUCAAGAGAUCGGGGACACUUCCUUCUUUCCCUUUUCCCUUUUUUUCUCCCCCCCUCCCUUCCUUAGAUAUUGCGUCGUUCCGCUCUUUCCACCGAUUGCUCCUCGAUACUCCCCUUUCUCCACCGUAAUGAACCGAGGAAAAUUGAUCUCGUCGUGCUUGUUACUGUUAGACUUGCUUUAUUCGCAAUCGACUCGGUGGCGAAUUCAAUCGUAUCUGCAUUCCCAAUCGUUCGUUCCAAUAUAUCCAUAUAAUACCUGUAUAAAAAAUCCUUUCCACUCGAGAUACAACCGUGUAACCGCAACGAAAUCCCCUACGAAAUGCAACGUUCCAAAACGGGUAGGCCACGCGUUUCCUAUUCCCCGCUCAAAUUCCCUUGCUUGCAGGGAGAAAGCGAAGAGGAGGAGGAUUUCUGUCUGGAAACAACAGAAUCGACGACCAAAAGCAAACUCGGCGUCCAUGUUCCGCCACCUUGAGACUUGAGGCGACUUCCGUGCCCUUCGGGUUGCGCGAAAUGGGAUCCAUUUCGCGAUUUCCUGCGAACACGAUCCGCGGAGUAGAAAAGCUUGGAGGCUGGAGGAAGAGGCUGGAGGAGGAGGAGGAUGGAAUACAAUGGCGCGGAUCGUGGCUGCCGCUUAUGCCCUUCGGUUAUGGGGAACGCACGAAGCAAAGGAAAAAGGUAAAUUGCGUUCGAAAAAACGGAAGAAAGAACACGUUACCCCAUAGACUGUUAUUCGCGCGAGGAGAAGAGGUUCGGAUCUCGAAGGAAGAAAAAGCAGCGUACAGAGCGAACGAAGAGGACGAUGUACACGCACGCUGUGCACCGGCUAAGGAAAUAAUCCGUUAGUUUAUUACGAGGCAGAGAACGAAGCGGCCGCGUGUUGCUCUGUUUUUGCUUAGCCUCGUAAGUAAAACCUGUAACGCGAUCCUGUGCAAAAUGAAUGAUGAGUUGCAUUCGAGAGUAAAACUCUCGAGAGCAACUCUCGAAACUUCUUUUCCUCCCUUUCCUUCUUUCUCUUCUCCUUCUUUUUCUUCGUCCUCUUGCGAUCGUAAGGGGAGAGUAAGUCGAGAGUCGCUCUUGAGACUAUUUAUCGCAAGUGGACAUGGCAUUGAUAAUGACUGUUCGAGAGUAACUUUUCUAUCAACGUAGCGUCCAUUGGCGAAAAAUAAUUUUUCGAUUUCUAUUUUUCUCUCUCACGCGAAAUUUUCAUUUCAUCCUUUAGCGUACGAGAAAAUAAAUCGAGAUUCACCGAGAAUAUUCUUCCCUAAUAUAAGAUCCAAAAUUAAAUUUCAUUCUAUGUAAUAUCUAUGAAAAUAUAUUUUUCAAAUCGUAUCCUCUACGUAGAAUUUUCUUUAUCCGCGUAUAAAGAAAUUUCUCUCGAGAAUUAUUAUUCCUGGCAAGAAAACGUUGCACACGAGGAAAACUUUCAUCAGCGACUAUCAAUAUCCACUAUAUCCGAAAAAUAAUUCUCAAGAUCUCGGCUAUUCUAUUCUCCUCCUACGAAGAAGAGCGAGAAGAAAGGAGGGGAAAGGAAAAGAAAUUUCGGUGUUGAACGGGAAGAAGAAGAAGAAGAUAAUUGCGGUGACCUUGGACGCCUCGCGCCGCUGCACACCCAUAACUGAAUCGCGUUUAACCCCGCUUAUACUUUCAUAACGUAGCCAACGCACGCCUCGAUGAUAAAGUAAACGGUGGCCGAGACGAUGCCACCGUCCCCCAGCUCCCUCGAGUUCUGUUUCUAUUCGCUGCAACGCCUCGCCUCCGAGAUCCUCUUUCUUCGCCGCGCGGCGAAACUCUCCGUUUUAUAUCGGCUCGUUCCACCGUUCAUUAUCUUCGCGGUUUUUCCGCCCGAUUCCCUUCGUCGCCCCACUUGGGAAUUUUACAAUUCGAUUCCGUAUCGAGUCGAGGUUCGUUACGACCGAUUAGAAAAAUUUACGAUUAACCUGCGUCGUAAAUUUGCCGAGCUUUAUACUCCCGCCUAUUCUCUUUGCCCACCGAUUGCGAAAGAUUACCGACCAUCUAAUGGGAAUAUACGUGAGCGAAUCAGUUCCAGAUCUUCCUGGUUUUUCCUUUUUUAUUUUUCUUUUUUUUUUUUUUGAGGAGAAAUAUGGAGAAAUUAAGCGGCCAUUCGAGACCAUUUUUUUCGUAGUGAAAUAUAUCGCUAAAUUUUUAUCUUCUUCUUUUUAAUUAGAAAGAAAGAUAUAUCGUGGAAUUUGAAUACUAUUUCUAGUGAUGUUAUAAAUCUAACGGACAUAAUGAAAUUCAUCACGAGGCAACGUCACUGUGCAAGGACAGUAAAAGGAACAAGAGCUCGAAGCGUUCGUGAAACUCGACAGCGGAAUACAAUGAGAAAAUAUCAGCCCCGUCGAGGAAUCUCGAUCGUCCUCGAAACGACGAGGAUCGUCGAGUUUCCGCCUUUCGCCGUUUGAACGCGAUUCUUCAAUUUGGAGAUAAAACAACAACAAGAUGGAAAUAAACGUAUCGAUCUCGUAAAUGCUCUAACGUAACACGAUACAUUUAACUUUUCCAAUCAACCAUCUCUCAUUCACAAAACACAAUUCUCAAAACAACAACAUCUUCUCUCCAAGAUAAAAAAUUAAUCUAACGACAACUAUCAGCCUCGAGAAUCUCGGUCGAAACGACGUCUAAGAAUCUCCUCGAAACUUUUCCAGUCUCUCAAAGGAGCGAAGAGCUUCGAGGAGGAGGAGGAGGAGGCAUCUACUCGUGGAAAAUCGGCGACGAUCGUCGUUCAGGCGAUUGAAAUCGCUCGACAGGAAGCGCGUAACGCUCGCGAGAAACGAGGCGGGCAAAACCUUGUCCGAGUUUCGAUGUUUGCGCCGGAAGUAGACGGCCGGAAACGGAUGGAGAAAAACCGGAGGAAGAAUCGGAUCGGCCGGAUUAUUCUGGGAAAUAGAGCAAGGAGUGUAUAUAAGAAAAACUGCUCGAUGUAAUUUCGCGGAACGUCGAGAGAGCAUCGCUCGUAUCGUUUCGAUCCUCGACGAGGUUGCUCGACCAAGUUUUCCCCGGGGACGAGGAACUUCCUGGUGUGCGCGCGUCGUCGUCCCGGGGAUAACGCGGAGGAGCGCCGCCAGGACCUACCACCACAUCGCGCCGGUUGCGAAUGUGGUGGAGAGAGGGAGGGAGGGAGGAAAGGAGAGGAGGACUCGUAUGUGUACGUGAGACCUUUGGUAUUACCAAGUCAAAUACACGAGGCGAACAUUGGCCGGAAAAAUGGUGUCGAAGAAGUCAAGGAACCUGCUACGAUCCUCCUCCUCCUCCUCCUCCUCCCACGAUAUCGUUCCACUCGUUUUUCCCCUCCUCACGAUGAUACCACUCGUCCUGUUUGCCUCAAUUUCGAAGAGACGGGAUCACGCGACGUGUUCGUGGAAAGAAAAUGGGAUCGUACCAUUUUUCGAUUUUGAAUUUUUAUAUUCAAGGAUGGAAUAAGAUGGAAGACUUUGUCGACGUUUUUUGAGAUCGUGGUGUACGGUGGGUGGAUCGUUACGUUGUUAUUAGGUUGGUAGGUGAAGAGAAAGACAACGGUGAAAGAGGUGAAGCAACACGAGGAGGACGCAUCUUGCGUCAGAGAUCAACGGCUGGUUGGCAUUUCUGCUGGAAAGUUUACCGUGCAUCUACGAUGCUCGAUUCCACGCACAUGAGAGCGCAUAAGAGUGAAACGCGCACGUCCCUCGCGGUUUCCUGGACUCCGAGACCGUUUCUGCGAUUAUUCACGAGUUUGUUUCGCAAAGCAGGCCGAUGAGUCAGAUUUCAGCCAUCGUCGAAAACCACGGAUUUUGCGACGGAGGGGAUCGUCGCAAAGGGGAUCGAUAAGCUUUUGCACUCCGCCUUCUACUCCACUUCGGAUACCGGAUUAACCAGUUUUCGAGCGCUCGUCCUCCGCUAUCGAAAUAACUGGAAGAGGAGGAAACGAGGCAAAACGCGGGCCUCGUACUCUCGAUCGAAGCCACCUUCUGCCUCCUCCAAGUGUGUGUGUACGCGUUGCGUCCACAAGUUUGCCUCGCGUCCAAAUACGGCGAGGAGGGAGAAGCGGAGAAGGGAGGAAAGGAGAGGAGAGGAGAGAAGGACCAAGAUCUCGGCGACCGAGUUACGCCGAGAGACGCGUGGCUUUGGAUCCUCGAGAGCCGACUCGAAAUCGAAAGCGCGGCGAAGCAGGCUUCCGUGACGCAAUCGCUGCUCUGUGUUCCUGACCUGCCUUCAUUUUUUAUCCCCCACCACCCGGGGAGCGUGGCCGACACACAGCCACCGUAGAGCAACCACGAGAGCGCAUAGAGGCCUCAUAACGACGAACAACCGGUAGAUUGUAAAGCCGUCGUAACUCCCGCAGGAUAAAAAUCCUGGCACACGCUCCACGACCGGCUGUAUCCAGCCUGCACAUCGACCAUCGCCGUCGAUGGAGGUGGAGACACGCGGAUGCAGUGGGAGAAAAAGGAGAGAGAGAGAGAGAGAGAGAGUGAGAUAUUUCUCGGCUUGCGACACCCUUGCGGCAAGCGGAGACCAGCGUUUUCCGCUCCUUGGCCUUAAUUAACAUCUGACACGAGUCCAGCGUACCCCCAACGCCUUUUUUCCUUUUUCCUCCGUUCCUUUCUUCUUCUUUUUCUUCUUCUUCUUCUUCUUCUUCUUCGACUGCCCGCUUGCCAUCACGCCACUUAAUGCCGUUUAAUUGCUCCUCCAGCUGUGGAUACGAGGUCGGGAACACCGGUGACCGGUGAUGCUUGCUUAACCCUGAAACCACGUCGUUUUGCCAGGUGCAACGCGCGGGGGGGAAACGAUAGCAUCGCCGACUCUCCCGCGACGUACGGUCACGCCUAAAGAGACACGCUGGUGGCCGCUCACUGACCACGCUUGUGCAAAAUUUAUUCCCAUUUUUUCCCCUCAUUUGUGGCCUUUUCAUUUCGUUUCGACGGUUAAUAAUUUUAAAGAAAUGUCUUGUCGUAUGAAGUACACUCGGAUCAAAAUUAAUAGACGUAUAUAGACGUUCAAAGAUUUUCGUCGAGUUUCAUCUGCUCGCCAGAAAAGUAUGGAUCAGCUUCACUGUCUGAUAUCCCUGCUAUUUCCAUAAUUAAUAAUCGGAAAUCGAAUCGGCUGACGAAAUAGAAAAUAAAUACGAUCGAGCGUGAUCGGAACAGAACGAUGUUUCGUCGAUGAUGACUUCGUGUGAAUUCAUCCCCCAAUCAAAAUGUUAAUUAUUGAUAAAAUGUGUCUUCGUGUCUUUAAGAGAAUCCUGUUACUAUGACAAGCAAAGAUUCCCUCCUCCCACUUUCUUCUUGUGGAUCCAAUAAGAUUGUUGCAAUUUAAAUCUCUCUCAUCAGAAGAAACAACAAUUCCAUCAGAUUAAAGUUGGGACACGUAAAUCGAACGAAUCAAUAAACAAGCGCCUCCUUUUCUUUCUCUCGAAACCUAUUCGUCAUCCUUCCCGUGACAUUUUACGCAGGUAAUUUGUAUGCAAAACCAUCGGCAGACGGUUAAUUGCGCGUCGCUCGAUCGUGAUUUAUGCGAGCUAAUUAGCGACAAAAGUAAGCUCGAAGUAAGCGGCUCGACUUGCUGCAUGCGUAUUAACGCAUGAUAAAUCCUUAUAAUAUCAGCGAUAUCGAUCUCGGUCUCGGGAAACGCUCCAAGACGCGUCCGUGAAUCGCAAACCGUUGCCGUUUUUCCACGCAGGGACGCUCGGUGUGCUCGGCUCGCGUGAAAAUUUUCAUUGUUCGACGACGGAGGCAACGGUGCAACACACGUAGUAGUAACCUUGGCCCCGAUAUUAUUUGCUAAUCUUCGAGUUACGCGCGGGAGUUUUGCGAUCGCGCGGACAGAUAGCUUUGUGCUCGUCCCUCGAACCAGGAAGGAUCCCGCAAUUGGAACGAAGCAUUCGAAGGAGCCCUCUUUGCGAUGCUUGCGAGGUUAAUCUUUAAAAAACGGUAAUUGAAAUUUAUCAUAUAACGAAAACGUGAACGAAACAAAUGAAUUCAUCGUUUCUUGCGAAAUUUUUCUCCGGCAUUUCGUUUUGAAAAAUGGCUCGAGUUUAAUUUCUAUACCGAGAAUGAUGUUUGAAGUGUUGUUUUUUUAAUUAUCAAUGAAACUGGAGAAUGUAUCUCGCACGUAUAUCGAUGAUGAAUAUCGGAAAGAUCUAGUUUUGAGUUCAACAAUUUCAUUCAAACGAAUACGGAAAAAUAGGUUAAUAUAUAUGUAAAUACAUGGAUGUUUCAGAUAAUGAGUCGUAUACAUUUCAUAGGAUGAAUGAAAAAUUUAUUACACGUAAUUUUUCUACACGUUUAUUUUUAAAAAUUAACUCGGAUAAAUAAAAGCUUUCGAGGAGGAAUUUAGACACAUCAUCCUGCUAUCGUGCAUCGUGUAUGUUUUUGUUUGUUGUCCGUGAGAUUGAGCGGCGGUUGUUAAUCGGGAUCUUUUUACAUUAGAGAGAUUGAUUUUGUGUUUGGAUAAGCGGUUACAGGAGUCGAGGGGUGUAAUUAUUCGCAGGUGGUACGAGGAAGGUUAUUGGUAUAUAUGGUCGAUAGAGUGAAAGUCGGCGGUGCUGACACCGCGUUUCGUAAUGCGCCGUACAAUUGAAAUAGUCGAAAAACUAAGCUGGAAUACGCGUUUACGUAAGUGCGAAGUCGUAAAGCUUGGAACUGUAAAAUCGGCGUAAGAAAUUGCCGGUAAUUAACGUCGCUACCGUCGGCUAGCUGAAUAAAGACUGAAUAGAGAGACUAUUCGAGUUAAGGUCCAUUGGACACGGUUGCCAAUAAGCGCUUAGAGGCUUAAUAAUAAAAAUAUCGGGUAUUACUCUCUCAGCGUGCUCUAAUCACUUUUUUUUUAUAACAAUUUAACCCCAGUUUCUGUGAAAUCUCUUCGAUCCAUUCAAUUCUCGAUAAACCGCUAAAGGAAAUUAAAAAAGGAAUCAAUUUUUUUUAGAAAGAACUUCUCUUCAACGACAAAUUGAAAACCAUUGAAUAUUCCAAACAUUGUUCACCGAAUACACGAACAAUCAAUUUCACUUUAAUAAAUAAUUACUUUAAUUAUCGAUCUUGCUCGAGCAACAGACACCUAUCUGUAUCUCCUGUAACUGGCUGAUCGAUAAUUUACUCGAGCAAUAACAAAUUAUUUCUCAAUAACCAUCCAUUUAUAACUCUUUCUCUCUCUCUUUCUUUGUUUCUCUUUCUACAAAGAAAACGAUCAAAUCACACACAGCCUCGAACCCCAGGAGCACAGAGGGCCCACGUAGCACGUGGUUACUCCGGUUUAACAUCCCGUCCUCCAAUUGCAUCCACGAGAGUACGAGCCGCAACGGUACACACGAGCACGGGACAGCAACAACAAGAAGAAGAAAAGGCAGGAGGCGUACGAGGAUACUCGAAUGAGAGAGAGAGAAAGAGAGAGAGAGAGAGAGAGAAAGGAGGCAGGGUUUUCGAACGAUCUUCCACCUUUAUUGGGACGAGGAAGGGCGAAGGCGAGGCGAGGCGAGGCGGGAGUGGAAGAAGGCAAGAAGGCGCCUCUCGAGAGGCGAUAUAAACGAGGCCUGAUGCAAUUACUUUUACGAGAGACAUGGUAUAUAGGUAUAUAGGUGGCUACCGUGGCAUUAAAGCGCCACUAAGGUAGACAUGCUCGCGCUUUAGUGCUUCUCCGCGCGCGAGUCGCGACCGAUCGGACUCGGCCACGGGCGGAUUUAGCUCAGGGCUAGGCGAAAGUAUCGCCACGGCCGAUCGCUGCUGAUCUCUUCUAUCUCUCUCUCUCUCUCUUUUUCUGCGUGUCUCUCGUUCUCGUUCGAAGGGCUGAAUGGUGAACGCGACACGCUGAACGGGUCGUCGUGGAUCGUGACCCGUUCCUCGAGAGAUAGGAAAAUUGCCAACGCGUUGGUAAAAGGUUAGGGAUAACGUUCGAUCGUUACUGUUUCGCGAGGCGAUGAUUUUUGAGAUAAUCGAGUUUGUAUUUUAAAUAAGGAUUUUCGAGGUUUCGUUUCGUAUUAUUGACAAAUGUCGAAUCGGGAGAAAAAGAACGCAGCUGCAUUAUGGGUUACGCAACCAACCUUUGUUCCAAGAAAGAUUUAUUGGGAAUAGUUGCGAGGACGAGUUUCUCUCUAGCUCAGCGUAGGUUGCUCGCCUAGCAAUUUCAAAUCGCACGAUUUCGUCAAGCGUUCCGCCGGAGCCGUGCACUUCGAAUCGAGGAGAUUUCGAAUCAAGAUUUUCGUGAAAUUUGUUUCGAUCGUAAUCUCGGUUGCGCGAAUAUAUAUGAAAUUCUCCAAGUUGCAAUGAGAACUUCUUCUAUUACACUCGGCGAGUCGCUCGAGGAUUCUCUGAAAGCUAACGCAUUUUCUCGAAAAUUUCCUCGGCAAAUCUACUCUUCCGAAUUCGAACCGGUUAUUCCAAAUUAUUCUCCCGAUCCGUUUCAAAGGUUCAAAGGUUUCGUAAACCGCGUAAUAUUGUCGAGUAGACGAGGGGUUGACGGUAAUCGAACAACGGCCGCGAGCGAGCGUGUCAUUGAGUGGCACGCUCAUACGUAAGCACGCGAUGCCGGCGGAUCAGACAUCACGUCGAGCGGCUCGAAAAGGAUGUCGCAUGCAAAGCGGAUCUUCCUUCCGAUUCGACAAUGGCCGGCGGCGGCCCGUACGCCGGCUGCACUCGAGAUAUGCGCGGGACCGAUCCAUUGUCUACCUGCGGUUUACAAUAAUGACGACGCGGCAUACAGAGAGCUUCAUUUCGCGAUGCCUUUGACCGACCACCGACUGUGAACGGCUACGUCUCGCGACCUCCUGCCGUGGACACCGCCGAUCGUGGUUUCCGUGUCGAACCGGAUAUCCAAUUGCUUUCCGCUACCGUCUUUCCACCUACUCGCCCUAUUCUCUUCUCCUCUUCGCGGAGACUUACUCAGAUCUUAUUCAGAUUUACACGAGUACCUUCUUUUUCAAUCUCUCGAAGGGUGAGAACGUUCGUAUUAUCAGCGGGAUAUCAGCGGUUGUUGUGAAUAAAUUGGUAUUUUUUUUUUCUAAUCAAAAAUGUAGGAGAUGCAAAAAUGUAGGAGCGUUAACGUUCGAUCGAUCGCUGCCCCACUCGGUCAUACCGUGCACAUGUAUCCAUGAUCUAAUUAAUAUUCGACCACUGGUAUCGAAAACUGGGUUAGAUAACCGAGUUUCUCUAGUUUAUGAAUGAAACGUUAUCGUGAUUUACGCGUACUAUGCAUGCGAAUGAAACGCCCGUAAUUCCCACUGUGUCAGGGGGGGAUUAACCGUUUGCAGGCCAUUGUAACUCUCUGUAACAGAGAGAGAGAGAGAGAGAAUCGAUGGAACGCGCGAAUAGACCGCGAAAUUUCAAACCUGCAACCGUUUCAACGCAAAAUUCCGUAGAAAUUCGAUGUAACGGGAUCAAAGAGUAUCGAAAAAAAGAGAACGAAACAUGUGAUUAUGAUUCGACGAAGAGAUUGUUUUUUUUAAAUCGAGAAUAGAUUGCUUGCGAGAAUAUUUCAGGCGGGUGAGUUUCGCGACGAAAUUGAAUUAUCUUCUCUUCCGGGAAUUAGAUUGAUCGAGAAUUUCGUGGUAUAACGCGAUGUAUUUGCAAUGUGUGGAGGAGAAGGAUGAUUUUUUUUUUAUUGCUCGAGGAAGCGUGACAUAUUUUUAAGACAGCUGAUAAUACAGCUGUCUUAAUGGAUUUAAUGGUCGGUAAAUAUAAAGAAGAUUGUAUAUUUCGACUUUGGGAAAUCUUAUCUAAGUUCCUUGAACUUCGAGCCGGGUGAAAUUAAGGUUUGUCACGUACGUGCAAGCACACUGGGGCUAUCAAACCAGUCGAUGGUUUUUUUCUUUUCUUGCAAGGUUACGAGGUAACUAGAAUUAUUAUUUUUGUAACCCUAUUUUAAUCUGUUAUUUGUGCUCGUACAUCUGGAUACGUAUUACAAAUCGAUAGUUUUGAAAAUAGUUUAGACAAGAAAGCACAAGUGUUUGACAAAUAUAUUUUGGUUUUUUUUUUGCUACGUCAUUACAGGUAGCGCGAAUGUUGUUAAACAUUUUAAAUCCGAAUCUCGAUUCGGAAGACUAGCUCGCGCACCCGCAAAGACCCCAGCUGAUGGCGUCGAAAGUGAAAGUAUCGUACACCCGACCCGCAAAUGCAACCUUCCUGUAACCAUAUUUCAAUAGAGGCGGGUAAGAAGUACAAAUAGCCUCCUAAAUAAGCGCAAGAAUUAAGAAUUAUCUAUUCCUGCAUCCCAUGUUUCUUUGGUUUUUCCCUCGAUCGCUUGAUAUUUAGUAUCAACCGUUCGAUCGAAAGUCGAAACUUUCUCACGGGACAGGAGAAAACUUAAUGGUCUAAGAAACGAACCUCUUAUCGGACACUAUUGCAAGAAUAUCGAAACGAACCUUCUUCGUAUAUAUAUCCAUGAAUUACACACUCGUGCACACAAAGAUCCACGAAUAAAAAUUGAGUCGUGUAGAAAAAUAUAUAAUAAUAAUAUCAAAUUUACUUCAAUACCAAAAAUUUUAUAUCCUAAACAUCGUAAUGACGCUUUUCUUCUUUUUUUUAAAUCUAUUUGACGAAACAUUUGCUUCUUUCUCUCGAAUCUUUUUCAACCAUAUAUAUAUAUUUUUAAGUAAAAGAGUAUAAGGACGAAGAUAAUCAGAGAGACAAAAAGAAUAUCAAAUUACAAUACCAAUUAAGAGUCUAACCACUAAAUUGUUGUAAUCACUGCAAAUAUAAUGGUAUAAUACGUUUCAUCCUUUUCAUCCCAAAUAAACAUCUCUUUCUUCACGGAUAGAGCACUCGCUUUUGUUCCUCCUCUUAAUCACUCCUCGAGUCAGAAGC